GUUCUAAUCGAUACGACUGGGACAAGAGACAUCUUCACUUUAGCUAUUACAGUUAUGCCAGAUACCAGCAGCUUCUACAACAAAACCAAAGAAACAGGGAACUAUGAAGCUUGGGCCAACCUCCAAUUUGUGUUAGCUAGCUUAGGGAUUCAAAACUGACCAAGAUUUGGCCUUUUUUCUGCUGAAAAAGCUAUAGGAGACUCUACAUAAGGAACCUACAUAAGAAGACUCCCUGAAGUGUCACCAACAACGACCGAGCUGCUACAACUUUGAGGAGUCGCCACGCAACACAGGAUGCAGUUAGCAAACCUUCGCGCGAGGAAGGACCUGAGCUUUCCUUAUUAUUGUCCGUCUCUGUGGCUCACUGGAACUGUAAACCGACAGAGUACUCAGAAAUGUUGUUGAAAGAGAAGGGCCUACAACCAAACAUAUAAAUCAGAUGAAAUAAGGGAAGUUUGUGUGGGCAACGAGUCGGAUGCAAAGGAUUUACUUCAGUCACCCGACAAGGCCCAAAUCCCUGUCAUUCACAUGAGAAAGAGACAGAGAUAUCGGGGAUGUCGGUCGGGGUGCCCUGUAAGGAUCCGACGGCAAGUGGGUAAUCUGCAUCUACCAUCAGUCAAAAUAGCCAAUUAUUUUUUACUUAACACUUAUUUUUCUUAACUGCAUUUUUGGUUAAGGGCUUAUAAGUAAGCAUUUCUCUACACCUGUUGUAUUCAGAGCAUGUGACAAAUAAAAUUUGAUUUGAACAUUUGA